ACAAGACUUUCCCUGGGACAGCGGCGGUUUUCAGUUGAAGAUACACGAGAGGAGAGACUGAAAAAAGACCAGCAAGGUAAAAUAAUCUAAAUAAGUUAUUUAUUAUCAGACCCGCGGUUGUUGUUUACCCGAACGGGACAUUUUAAAACCGUCAACCGGACGCGUUGCUUAACGUAUAACGGUAAUAUUAGUUUACUAAAGUCAGUAUAAACCCAAUUAAUAAAUCAUACUAUGUGUAUGCAAGCCUACGAGCACGCGCGGUGCGUUAAAUUACACGCUAGUGUUUUCCUUUUAUAAAACUAUUAUGAAGAAAUGCUUAACGUAGCCUAAUGUAUACAUCAAUGAUAUGAAAAGAUCAGAUUUAGUUUAUAACGUUACCUGAGAGAAUAAUUUAUUAAUAAAAAGCAUAUUUAACAAAGUACCCUAAAUUACAUGAAGCUGUGUUACCACGUUGUGUUUAACAUUCUCAUCCGCUUGGCUUUACCUGUUACAUAAAUUAUGCGUUAUUAAUAAGGUGUAUAACUAAAUUUUAUCUUUCAAAUUCGUUAAACUACGUUAAGCAUUUUAGCGUAUGUUAUGUGUGUGUGUGGUGGCCAAUCGGAAAAACAUUAUAUUUUAAAUGUGAAUAUGUUUAAACAUAAAGGCUGAAACCUAAUUUGCAUAAAAUAAAGUUUUAAAAUGUGUUUUUGUUUUGUAUUAAAUUGCUUUUGAGGCCAAUGUAGCUGUACAGUAAAUAUUCAGCCUCGAUCAGAAAACCACGUCCCACUGUCAUAACACACAGACCUGUGGCCAUGUGUAGUGAUUUGAGUAGAGUACAUCUACUCUGGUUAUCAUUUCAAAACAGUAUUUACUGAAAAAUAUGAGUGUUCAGCAUCAUGUAUUAAAUGUGUUAAAUAUGUCCUUUUUUCCCUGCAUUUAUUCUGCUGUCUAAAAUUCUUUGGGAGGAUAAAUGAAGGAGGAUGUAAAAAAAUACACUGCAAGAACUGGAAUGAGAGACAAGUGAGGAUGAAGAGGACAACAGAAUAUCCAUCCUUUCUUCACCACCUCACAGAGUUUGAGUGAAACAACUUGUAUUAGGACUCACAGGAUUAUUUUAUAACAAGACUGAUUAUUUUAUACCAGAAGUAUGGUAUUUUUUGAAGCUACUGUAUUAUUUCAAAUGACAAUUCAUUUUGAUGUGCAUUCAGAACUGUAAGUUGGUAAGUACAUUUACUGUAUUUACUGUAAGUAAAGGCUAAAGAGUAUAUCUCCUCUACUUCUAAUUUCUAGUUCUAAGUUUUAACAACAUUCCCAAAGGUCCCAAUAAUGUUAAGCCAACAUAAAAGUGUCCAGUUUUUCAAUUGUUUAGGAAUGUUUCUUGAUUGUGCAAAUGUUAGAGGAAUGUUACAUUUUAUUUUCAGACAAUGUCAUGUUUAAAUGUACUCACAAUGUUUAAAACACAUGUUUAGUAUAUUUUAUGAAUGUUUGUAUGCAAUAUUUUAACAGAACAUUAAGAAAUAAUGUUUAACAACAGUUUGUAAAUAAUAGAAUGUAAUGUUUUUUUAUCAUUACAAGCAAAAACAUUCAUAACGUUAUUCGGAACUUUGGGAACUUUCAAGGAACGUUCUUAGAACCUUUCUCUGUGGUUGAGCAUUGUGUUAGCAUCAUUAAACACCAUGGGUUCGAACAAGGGAAUGCACAUGGUGAUAAAAAAUGUAUACUUUGCAUUGCACUGUAUGUUAUUUGCCUUUUUCUGUAAAUGUGAAGAUAAAUGUAAAGACAGACAGUCAUUGUUUCAUUUUAAACCAGUUAUACU